UUAGAGAAUAUCGAAAGCCAACACUCAAGGCCUAAUAUUUUCCAACCCCAAUCCCUCCGUAAAACCCAAUCUCCGACGAGUCUUCUCCUUUGGACACACCUUAAUCGAGCGUGCUUCUAGGUCUGUUGAGAUAAACUUGCUAAUCGUGCAUUUUUGGGACAAAGUUAUUCUCGAGGAUCCAAUCGAGAGGAUGUUGGAAUAAUGGAUGCGUUAAAUCUAUAUAUUUUAAAUUGUAAGUUGUCCUUUGCUUUUCUUCUUAUUUUGUUUGAUGUUUUUCCUAUUUGUUCUCUCUUUGACUGGAAAAAAUAAGAUUUUAGAGUUUGACACUAAGUCUGAUUUACAAAUUGUAGUGAAAUAUUACUUACCGGGCAUAGAAAUAAGUGGUGAUGUUAGUUAGUAAGGCCUUGACUAUAAAUAUUACUUACCGGGCACGAAUUACUGUAUACUUCGGAGAGUAUUUGGCUUAUUUGUUGCUAUUGAAGUUACUGGAUUUCUAAUCUUCUUAUUAAAUUGUUAUUCCGCUCUCCAACUAGUUAAUUUCGUGAAUGACGCAUUAUGAUUCCUUUACGUGUUAGGUGGUGUUAGAAUAGAUUAGUCCUCCUGUUUAUUUUCUUUUACUCUAUUUGCGCAUUCUGAAUAUUAUUGGCCAUACCAAGUGCCAUGCGGCACUAUAUUGAAAUUAUGCCAACAUAAUGACCAGGUACGUCUCUUAUGAAUCCUUCCUGAAGGACUUCGAAUAAUAUCUCUAUAUGCAUGAUAUUUAGUGUUUGAACAUAUUUGGACACAUGUCACCUAGAUGCCAUGUCGUUAGGACUUUAAUCUCUUAGAUAUUAUGUCGUAAGGGAUAAUAAGCAUAUUCUUAUGUAUCUGCAUUCAUUAUGCUUUACUUUUUUUGGCUUAUUCGACUGAGAAUGAGUUGAACACUUAGCAUAUCACACAUCUAGAAUAAUUCAAUCUGCAAUACUUGAAGCAUGCUAUAUCUGUCCUCUGUCUAGUUGGGAUAAUUAAGAAACUAAUGUGAAUGUUAGAAACCACUAGGAAAUGGGCUAUAACCUGUUAUAUUCAAAUCAGUUUUUUUUUUGUGUUUUAAUUAGUUCAAAUGCAUGUUUGGAUUUAUUUUUCAUACCAUUUGGUCUGGUUUAAUUGUCUGAACAUAGAAAACAAUAGGGAUACUGCCUUUAGGAACUUAUGGUAAGAAAAGUCGACAACCUGUUGAUGUUAAUGGCUAUCCAGUUGCAUUUCUCUAACAGGUUCUUUAUAUGACUAAACUGCAAAAAAUAAGAUUUUAUAGUUUGACACUAAGUCUGAUGUAAACAAUUUAGUGAAAUAUUACUUACCGGGCACAGAAAUAAGUGGUGAUAUUAUUUAGUAAGGCCUUGACUAUGGAGAUUUACUCGUGUAAAUAUUUACUUCUUUUUCAAUUUAUAGCCUCUUAGCUGCGUGGCCUCUUUUUCUUAUUUUUCAUGAUUUAAGUUACUUUGCAGAAUGAUCUGGAAAAUUAAUUUUAAUUGUAAAGAAGUUCACUAUAUAGUUUUGGAUUCGAGUUUUUUUGAAGUAUACCAAGUUUCCUCUGUUAGGCAGCUCAUUUGAGCUACUUCAUUCAAUAGUAUCAUAUAUAGAAGCUUUAGAAGUAGAGAUCACAGAGAUUACCUGUAUUAUUUUAACUAGAUGUGAUCAAGCUGUCCGUCGCUUGCUUAUCUGGCAAAACUAAGAAUAUUACUAGUAAAAAAUAACCAACUUUCCUCUGCUAGGAAGCUAAUUUGCGCUGCGUCAUUUAGUACCAAUGUUCCAUCAUAUAUAGAAGCUUUAGAAGUAGAGAUAAUGGAGUAUUACCUGUAUCAUUUUCACUAAAUGGGAUCAAAAUAUCAAAUUGUCCGACACUUGCUUAUCAGGCAAAACUAAGAUUAGAACCAGGUCAAUGGCUGUUGUUCAUAGUACAGAACUUCUGAAUUUCAUAAGGAGGUUCAACUUCGGAAUACAUGUUGCUAGUUAUAAGUGAAACUGGAUCAUUGUUGCCUUUUCUUUUCCUGGAUAUCAGAAUCAUAUAUUGCUGAUCAUCUUAACAUGCUUCUGCUGAUCAUAAUAUUCAAGUAUUUGUAUUACUUUUUAUGGUACACACUGAUAAGGUUGUGGCACAUGUCAUUUACUUAAAAAUUGUUACAUCCUAUAUUUUUGUACGUAAAAAUGCGUCGUAAGCAAACUAAUGUAGGAC